CGUUAGCGGCGGACGGGUGAGUAACACGUGGAUAACCUACCUAUAAGACUGGGAUAACUUCGGGAAACCGGAGCUAAUACCGGAUAAUAUAUUGAACCGCAUGGUUCAAUAGUGAAAGACGGUUUUGCUGUCACUUAUAGAUGGAUCCGCGCCGCAUUAGCUAGUUGGUAAGGUAACGGCUUACCAAGGCAACGAUGCGUAGCCGACCUGAGAGGGUGAUCGGCCACACUGGAACUGAGACACGGUCCAGACUCCUACGGGAGGCAGGG
rnacentral:rRNA from 1 species